UUCAAAAAGCUUAAUUAUCAAAAAUUGACUUAUACAAACCCUUACUUUUAUUAAUCUACUUUACUCCUCAUUCUCCCACAGGAUUGCUCUGUCAAUGUGAUGGUUGGUUAGAAUGGAUAUUUCUGCAGUAUCAAACUAAACCCUCCUUACAACCUUACAUUGACAAAGUAGCCUCCAUUAUCCUUAAAGAACGACAGAGACUAAGACAGAUGAUUGGUCAAGACCCUCACUCCAUUAUUCUUCCUUUAUCUAAACAAAAUAUUAUGCAAGUAUUUCAAGAAAAUACUCAUUGGCAAAUUGCACUUUCAGAUUAUUUAGGAAAUAUUGACUGUCAUUAUCCUAAGAAUAAGUUAUUUUCAUUUUUUCAGCGCCAUCAAUGGAUCCUUCCUCAAAAAACUUCUCCUAAUCCAUUAUUAAAUACUGUUACCUGUUUUACAGAUGGUACAAAAUCUUUUAAAGCAGCCUAUACAACUUGCUCUGGUUUGUCAAAAACUUUUCAAACAUCUUUUACUUCUGCACAACAAAAUUAGUUAUAUGCUGUGUUGCAAGCUUUGCAAGAUUUUCCAGGUCCUGUCAAUAUUGUUACUGACUCUGCUUAUGCUGCCUUUUCUGUUCCUCUGUUAGAAACUGCAGCAUUAGGCACCAUACAAUCUCCUAUUAACACUUUAUUUUCUCAGUUACAGGUGUGUAUCCGUCAAUGUCUACAUCCCUUCUUCAUUACUCAUAUACGAUCACAUUCUAAUUUACCAGGUCCUUUAUCAUAUUAUAACGAUAAAGUAGACAAGCUUGUUUCUUUAGUUACUUACUCACCAGCUCAACGAUAUCACGACCUGACUCAUGCUCCUUCUUUCACCUUACAGAAGCGUUUUUCUCUUUCUGCAUUUGAAGCUCAUAAUAUCUUGAAUUCUUGUCCAACCUGUUCUCAAAUUAAUUCUCCUCGUUUGCAAGCAGGAACUGUUCCCAGAGGAACGCGUCCUAACGCCCUAUGGCAAAUGGAUGUUACUAUUGUUCCUGAAUUUGGAACUCUUAAGCAUGUUCAUGUUUCUAUUGAUACUUAUUCUUCUGCUUCAUGGGCAACAGCUUUACCAGGAGAACGAUCUCAUCAUGUUAUCACUCAUCUUUUACAAGCACUUGCAAUACUAGGUGUUACUGCCAACAUAAAAACUGACAAUGCUCCAGUUUACCUCUCCUCUACACUAAAGAGAUUUUUUCAGCUGUAUAAUAUUACUCAUAAAACAGGCAUUCCUUACAAUUCUACAGGUCAAGCUCUAAUUGAACGUCGUCAUCUUACUCUUAAGCAUUAUUUGUUAAAAGAAAAAGGGGGAUUAUUCCCGGAUAUGAUAAAAUUAACAGCAAAUCAACGCUUAAUGCAUGCUUUACAUGUUCUUAAUUUCGAUCUCUUAAAAGGUGAUGGACAAUCAGCUAUAGAAAUACAUUUUUCUGACAAUAUUUCUUUUCCUGAAACAACAGCAGUUACUGUAUGGUGGUCUCCAAUAGGUUCUUCACAGUGGUAUAAAGGUCAUAUCAAAGUGUGGGGCAAAGGGUUUGUUUGUGUCAUUACACAGGAUCAACGCUUGAUUUGGCUACCCAGAAAAAGAAUUAAGAUACGAUAUAAAGAAGAACUUCCAAUAUCAACAUCCUCAGAAAGAGCUGCUCCAGAGGAUGGCCACCAACAAACGUCAUCACUGGAAUGAAGCUUCCUGGAUAGUGAAGUUUCUACUUUUAUUUUUGGUGAUAACAUUUAUACAUACACACACUGCACAAGCUUGCACUAUUACAGCUAAUGUGAGCAGUCCUCCAUAUUUAGGCUGAGGAGUAGUCCUUCAGUGUGUAUACACCUGUUUUACUCCUGUAGGUCCUAUAGUAUGGAAAAAAGAUGGUGAAGAGAUAUAUAGACAAAAGUAUGGAGGAAAGCUUGGAUGGAAUAAUGCAACUGAUUAGUCUAAAAGAGACAAUACUCGCUAUGACAUUUAUAAAACAGUUUUGACCAGAAAUGAUAUUGGCAAUUAUUCUUGUGAAAAAUAUCAAAAAGGAUCUCCUGAUAUAUUAUAUAAAAGUAGUUAUGUCUACUUAGACAUAUCACUCUCUCCAGAGCGAGAAUUUUCUUCACCUAAUAUGUGGCUACAACUUGCAAGUCGAGGACUGAACAAGUCAUCUUCUUGUGUAGCAGGAGAUUCCUCUAUUGGUGGAUUAUUAAAGAAGAAUUUGAUAGACCAUCCUGGAUAUAAGCACAGACAGAUUUCUCGAGCCCUGUCACCUGAUUAUGAUAACAACUUGAAGUUGUUGGAUCCUGUUGCUGUAGCUGUUGCUGCUGCAUUCAUCUUACCAGUUCCAGGACUUGUUGUAGGAAUGCAGAAUGAAAUAUCCAAGAUGGCCUGUGCAUACAGUAAAACAACAAAUCUGACUGCUUCUGUAUUAUCUGAACUCAACCAAGAACUGGGAGAAGUAUGAGUUGCGGUACUUCAAGACCGUGCUACUAUAGACUAUCUAUUGUUAAAAGAACAUAUGGAAUGUGAACAGUUUCCAGGCAUGUGUUUUAAUCUGUCUGACUUUUCUCAAACUAUUCACAAUCAAAUAGACAAUAUUCAUCAUAUUAUUGAUAAGUUUUCUCAAAUGCCUGAAAUACCUAAAUGGUUUUCUUGGUUUCACUGGAUAUGGCCAGUAAUUGUAGGCCUGUUUCUUUUGUGUAUUUGCCUUCCAGUCUUGAUACCCUGGAUGCGUCAUAUAGUCACCAGUUUGUUGAAACCAAUGCUUGCUUAUGCUACUUUCCUAGAAGUGAUGUCUAAAAAAUGAUUGUCCUUUGUUUGCAUUGUUACUUAUGAAAGUCCGUGCACUAAAUCUUUGUAUUUUGUGAUUUCUAUGAUUAAAGCUGGACAUAAGAGUGAGAGUAUAAAAACAAACAUCAACAAACUUCAGUCUACUCCUAAUGCCUCCUUUUUCCACACGUUCUCUCCCUGUGUGGCCCCAGGAGAUAGCUAGUUAGCCAGAGACGGGUAAGAUUCCUCAUGGGAGGAACAACCUAAGACAGGCACAGUCAUAAAGGGUCAACAGGUGAGGAGGUGGGGGCCAACUGAGGCGAGUCUUAGAACCUCGUCCCCCCAUUUAUAUGAGGCAUUCUCUGCUGCUUUUGUCCAGCUAGGUUGAUAUUUAAAAAAUUAAGAACAGAUCUUUCACUUGAGUUACAUCAUUAUCUUGAAGCCUUUUAAAAACAAAAAGGGGGAAAUGUGGGAAUUAUAUGGAAUUUAUAUAUAAAGUAUGAAAAUCAUAUGUAUAAGCACUUUUGCCUUGAUGGUUUGUUUAUGGUUCAUGAUUGUAGUCAAGACAGAAACAGUAGCCAAGACAGAAAGAGUUUCUGUGUUCGUUCACCAUGAGGAUUUGUUCGUUAUCCUGCAGAAAGUGAAACUGUUGAGAGUUGAACUUAAUUAAUGAUUGUGCAUGGAAGCCCCAAUAUUGUUGUUAACAACCAUUUUAUCAAUAAAUAUGAGAGAUGCCUUCUCGGCACCACUCUUGCACUGUCA